rnacentral:rRNA from 1 species
GACGAACGCUGGCGGCGUGCUUAACACAUGCAAGUCGAACGGAAAGGCCCUGCUUUUGUGGGGUUCUCGAGUGGCGAACGGGUGUGUAACACGUGUGUAUUCCCCCCUUGUCUUUGGGAUAACUUCUGGAAACUGGGGCUAAUAUCGGAUAGGAGCUCUUGCUGCUUGGUGGUGGUUGGAAAGUUUCGGCGGUUGGGGAUGGACUCGCGGCUUAUCAGCUUGUUGGUGGGGUAGUGGCGUACCAAGGCUUUGACGGGUAGCCGGCAUGAGAGGGUGACCGGCCACAUUGGGACUAAGAUAGGGCCCAGACUCCUAAGGAGGGCAGCAGGGGGGAAUAUUGCACAAGGGGCGGAAGCCUGAUGCAGCAAGGCCGCGGGCGGAAAGACGGGUUUCGGGUGGAAAACCGCUUUGGCAUGUGACGAAGCGUGAGUGACGGUAAUGAGUAAAGAAGCACCGGCUAACUACGUG